CUUUUUUUUUUUUCACCCCCAAGUCAACAGUUCUGAGUGUGGUUUGUGCACUAUGGAACAAUCGGAGCCGAUGGUGCAGACUAUUUCUCCAGUUACCACAAGAUGGCAUUGCACUGGAGGGUAUGUUCUUUCUUGGACCUUGUUAUUUUUUCACCUGGAAUUACAGAUAAAAGUAACUUUAAAAAUGUGUCUUUGAAGAGAUGUAUGUGCGCUAUUAGAUGAGAUUCAGGCAUACAUCUGUACUUUUGAAUGGCAGUCUGGUCAAUACGUACCUGCUGAUCCUUGUGCUCUCCUCAGUUUUGUUCUUAUGCAGUGAACUCUUUGAGUUCUUUCGGUUAAUAUUUGUACAAAAUUCCAAAGCUUUCAUAUAAAUGGCUAGGAGUGGACGGACACAAUUGCUAGUAUUUCUUACACUUCCAAAGUUACCUUGAGAGUUUAUGAUUACUGUGUGUCACUAGAACAGCAGAAGGCGUGCAUACCAGGAUUUGUUGUUUCAUCUGAUAGCCUGGACUUGCUAAGAAAAAAAAAGAGAAGAGAAGAGAAGAGAAGAGAAGAGAAGAGAAGAGAAGAGAAGAGAAGAGAAGAGAAGAGAAGAGAAGAGAAGAGAAGAGAAGAGAAGAGAAGAGAAGAGAAGAGAAGAGAAGAGAAGAGAAGAGAAGAGGAGAAGAGAAGAGAAGAGAAGAGAAGAGAAGAGAAGAAAAGAAGCGAAAAGAAAAGAAAAGAAGUGAAAAGAAAAGAAAAGAAAAGAAAAGAAAAGAAAAGAAAAGAAAAGAAAAGAAGUGAAAAGAAAAGAAAAGAAAAGAAAAGAAAAAAGAAAGGAAAAGAAAAGAAAAGAAAAGAAGCGAAAAGAAAAGAAAAGAAGCGAAAAGAAAAGAAGCGAAAAGAAAAGAAAAGAAAAGAAAAGAAAAGAAAAGAAAAGAAAAGAAAAGAAAAGGAAAGAAAAGAAAAGAAAAGAAGAGAAAAGAAAAGAAGAGAAAAGAAAAGAAGCGAAAAGAAAAGAAAAGAAAAGAAAAAUAAGCCCUUAAUAUAGCAAUUCACUUUCUGGGAACUGUUGUUUAGAGCUAAAUUCCAGCUUUCUUAUGUAUUCUAGGAAUUGUAAUUUGCUAUAUGAGUGCUUGCAAAUCAGUAAACAGGUCUGUUUGUUUGCUGUACGGGGAUCAUUGCCAGGAAACUUUACACUCAGUACACUUGGUCUGAAACUCAGUUCAAAGAUAACAAGGGAGCAGUGACGUUGUGGACAUCAGCAGCCAAGUACUCACCCAGAGUGCUGGAGAGAUUUGCACAGUCUGCAGAGAAAUACUUGCUGUCAGCACCAACACUGGACAGUUGAAGGUGACUCAAGAGUGCCUAUAGGAGCUGCAAUCACUCCUCUGGAUCAUGUUAAUAUUCCCUUUUUUUACCCAAAAUUCCCCUUUUUUUUCACCAGGAGCACUUGCAAGUGCCCCCUAAUGAAUCUGUGAAGCUAAGAGGUGUUGUAGAGGGCACAAGAUUCCCCCCAAGUAUUAAAAUUGCUAUGUCACCCCAGAGCUCUCCAUUAGUAAGACUUCACUGUCCAUCACCACCUGUGUUGCUCUGUGCAUUGUAGAGUGGCUGCACCACUCAUUUCUUAAUAGCAGAAAGGUGCUUUGCAGCUUUUGCAGGUGUAUGUGCAACUGUAGCUUUGACUCUUCUGUCUGUUUUACCGGUAAAACCCGGAGUUACUGCACUGAGGUCAAUGAGUUUGAGAAAUGUGUCCUUGUCUUUCUCAAGACAGCAGGGAAGAGGGGAGCAAGGAAAGUUGUCCUGUUAGAAUGAGAUGACACCCUUGAGCUCUGCAGGUGAGAAAGGGAAAAGAGCUGGGAAGUAGGCAGAAUAGCAUCAAAGAGCAGCUGGCAGAACAUGAGCUCAAGGUCACUUGACUGUUGGCCCAAAUCCAUCAAAAACACUGAAAGCCAGCAACUAGUCAGGCCAGCAGCUCAUAAGCAAAACAAAACAGAAGAACCCCCCAAAAAACAAAUCCAAGAAAAGAGCUGAGCAAUGGCAUUGUUCAGUAAGGAUGUGAAGAUUCUGCUUAGCACCCUUUGGAAGACCACCAUGGACAUAAAUUGGGACAGUCAACAAUUUGUAGCCAAGCUUACCAGUGCGCGAGUUGAGCUGAGAGUCAUUCUAUAGAAUCAUACAGUCACAGAAUGGUUGAAGAGGGAAGGGCCUUCUGGAUCCAUCUGGCCCAACCCCCCACUCCAGCAGGGACUCCAGAGCACGGGCCCAGGCCCAGGCCCAGGCCCAUGUUCAGGUGGCUUUUGAAGAUCUCCAAGUAGGAGACUCCACAUCUUCUGGGCAGCCUGUGGCAGUGCUCCAUCACCCACACAGCACAGAAUUGCUUCCCGGUGUGCCGAGAGUACUUCCUGUGUUGCACUUUGUGUCCAUUGCCUCUUGUCCUGUCACUGUACACCACUGAACUGAGCCUGCCUCCGUCCUCUUUGAACCCUUCCUUCAAGUAUUUAUACACAUCAAUGAAAUCUCCCUGAGCCUCCUCUUCUCCAGGCUGAACAGUCCCAGCUCUCACAGCCUUUCCACAUACGAGAGGUGCUCCAGGCCUUUCACUGUCUUGGUAGCCCUGAGGCUGGACCCUCUCCACUAUGUCCGGGUCUCUCUUGUACUGAGGGGCCCAGAACAGGACACACUACUCAAUGUGCAGCCUCACCAAUGCUGAGCAGAGGAAUUUAGCAGGUCAAAGAG
rnacentral:lncRNA from 1 species